rnacentral:misc_RNA from 1 species
UCCGAGUUGGCCCCGGCAGUCUCCUACGAGUCCCCGGCAUUACCCGCUGGCAACAUGCGACGGGGGUUGCGCUCGUUGCGGGACUUAACCCAACAUCUCACGACACGAGCUGACGACAGCCAUGCACCACCUGUGAUCGCGCCCCGAAGGGAGGGUGUGUUUCCACACCGGUCGCGAACAUGUCAAGCCCAGGUAAGGUUCUUCGCGUUGCGUCGAAUUAAACCACACGCUCCGCUGCUUGUGCGGGCCCCCGUCAGUUCCUUUGAGUUUCAGCCUUGCGGCCGUACUCCCCAGGCGGGGCACUUCAUGCGUUAGCGCCGGCACCCAGGGGGUCGCUCCCCCAAGCACCUAGUGCCCAUCGUUUACGGCGUGGACUAC